UGGGUGAUAAGCCAGCCUGCUAUCCCCAGAGCAACUCAGAAUGUUUGGUAUGUUACAGUACUUUCACACUAAAAACUAACGUGGCUUCCAGAAGACAGUGAUGGGAACAACAGGCAACUCGCUCAUUACACUACGCCUUGGAACAGAAGCCACUAAUGAGUCUAAUCCAUUCACCUUCUGGACACCUUAGCUGUCUGCAUCUCCCCCUCAGAGAAGCAGAGUCCCCCUCUUCAGAUGUCCAUUCAUUUACCCGCAGCUCCAUCAAACCCUACUCCCCAGAUUACAUUUCAAAUGAUGGAGUGUUCCAGGAUGCUCUCUGCAAACCAAACCAGGCUUUGUAAAGGCGAGAGAUGAUUGUGGUUGGCAUCUAGAGCUCUGAGGGCACAUCCCCGAGUUGGAAGAUUCUCUGUGUUUCAGGCGGACUUUGCACUCCUCCAUGGCAGCCCGGCUUCUGACCGCAGGCAGAAUGAUUAAUGGAAAGUUCUGAUGAGAAGUAAUUUUUUUGAGAAGCACCAGAACCCCUCCUCCCUCCAGCUUGGACUGAAGUGCAAAGAAAGCAGCGGUUCAAUUACUGUUUUGGGGGUUUUAUUUUUUAUUUUUUUGCAAUUUGGCAUUUUUGUGAUCUCUCAAAAUUGAUUUCCUUUCACCCUAAACCCUGUUGCUUCCCUAACAGUCAAUUUCAAGUAAAUAUCUGUCUGUUCAUUGUGUGA